GAUUUUUUCAACCCAAAAUGACGUCACCCGGAAGUUAUUGCUUAGCUGGCGUCAAAUAGUUUUCCACCGAUAUUCUCAUCCCAACAAACAAAUUAUUUUAGGUAACUAGGAAAUUCGUUUAAAUGUGUUUUAGAUUUUCAUUUGGAACUUUAAUGUGUUAUUUAAAUAACGCAUGGCUCAGACAAACUCUUGAGUCUUUUAAAGUGUUUGUUAUCCUAGCUUGUAAGCUAGCUAACGUUACACUAGCCAUUGUCUUGGGUUGGAAAGUGACGGCAGCUCAAUAGCCCACCAUGUCUGAACCGGGUUCUGGCUGUGGCGUUCCAGUCCAGAGAAGCUCACAGCCUGGUCCAGAGACGGUGUCAGUGAAGCUGGAGGACUGCGGUCAAAAACUGGAACUCAAUGUGAUUGUCAAAAAGGAGGAGAAGGGAGAUGUUAAAGAAGAAAAGCGCAGAAAUCAAAGAAGAUAAGGAAGAGGGGGAGAAGAGAGAGGUCCAAGUCGAAGAGGAGAGAAAUGCUGAUAUGGCUCCUCCAGGAGAGAGCUCCAACUCAGGCUCACUCAGCGAGCCCAGUACCACAGUAUCAGGAAACCACCAACAAUACCGAGGGAGGAACUCAAGGCAGAAACAUCACCACUGCUUGGACUGCUUCACUAGUUUCUGUGAGCCAGAGGAGUUGAGAAGACACACUUGUAAAGACCGCAGCCACGGUGUAACAUGUCCUCCCAAACGGAAAAAGACUUCCAGCUCCUUCUCACCAAUCCUCCCACCAGUCCUCCCACAAUUUUCUUUCAUCAUCGUGUCCACUAAUGGGGAUCCUAGUAAACAUAAAUGUUGCAGGAGGAGAAACUCCAGAUAAAAAGUCUCGGUCCCCCACCAGCCACCUGAUGUAGAAAUAACACUUCCUCAACACAGAACAAAAGGAAAGGACCCGUUCGUUCAACCCCUCGUGGUUCCAUAAGAAAUCGUGGCUGACGGCGUCUCCAAAAAAAAUACUUUGCUGCUUCCCGUGCCUUUUAUUCGGCAAAGACUUGGUCAACGGUUUCAAGGACCUGAAGCACCUCUCCGAAAGGCUUACGAAACAUGAGAGUUGUUGUACUCAUCUGGAAAACGGCAUGAAACUGGGAUUUCUAGGGAAGACUAACGCCGCUGAUCAGCUGGUCGGCGUAAACCCAAAGCUCCCAUUGAGAUACACAACAGACAAACGGAGGAGAGUAGGUACGUUUCUGGGUAGAAUUCUCAAAAGCUACGUUCUGUGCGGGAGACACAUGGCUGCGACGUGGCCGAGCGGCCUGGUCGAGUCGGAUUCCCUAAACACAUCCAUGUUUAAGUGCGUCUUUGAGGAGAGGGAGGGAGACUCCAGAGGCAUUACGACGCGCACGGCUUCUUUAAGCACCCAAGAGGCUAUGUACAAAACAAACUGUUUGACUGUAUGUACGAGGUGUACAAAGAGGCGAUUACCAAGGAGGUGUGGGCGGCUAGCUUCGUAGCGGUGCAGGUGGACGGCAUGCCGUGGACAGGGGAGGUCUCCUCCAGGGUGAUAUUGCCCCUAGCUACAGAUCUAGGAUCAGCUUCCCCAAUCCCAACUGUGACCAUUAGUGUGGAAAAUGCCAUACUGGCCCAAGAUCGGCUUCUUGGGCUAACAAUCUACUCCAGUACUCCACAGCAGGUCUCUGUCGUGCUACGGUACACGCUUCCAGACAAUACUGUCACGGAGAGGUUUUGGGAGUUUGUGGACCUAAAGGAUAAAACGGCCGCCGGUCUCACCAACGCAGUCAAGGACUCGCUGGAGCCACUGAAUCUGGAGCACAAGAUGAUUGGUCAGACGUACGACGGGGUUGCGGCGGCAGCAGUGGACGGGGCUGACGUACGCGACCUGAAACUCACCUGAAACGCACCUAUCCCAGCGCUAACUCUGUGCACUGCUACGCUCACCCGCUACGCGUCACACUCCAGCAGAUCUGCUCGGCGACAAAAGUGUUUUUUUUGCGGAUUUGUCUUUGUUUUGAAACUUUCUUCAAAGAUCAGUCAAAAGAGAGCUACAGCUGCAGGGUGGAACUGUGAGUGAGAAAUGGUCAGUGUGGUUUGGGAGAAUCGCAUUGCUCUUCUGAAGUGUGUGGAGGAUAUUAGGACACAGCCGAUGUGGGACCAGGACUCUAUCAGAGAGGCUUACGGCCUGUCAGCUAAACUCAGGGACCCCACGUUCCUACAACUACUAGAAUUGUUCUAUUUGGUCAUGCAAGAGGUGGAUGUUCUCACUGUCAACAUACACAAAAGGGAUGUUGUCGUGGCGGACAUCGAACAGGCAGUUGAUAGUUUUCGAGAAGUACGUUCAAGCCCAACAGGGGAGAGCUGAGGCCACAGCACACGUAGGCCCUGCGUCGGACAACGACAAGAGAGAGAGACGCAGAGAACUGCAGCGGUCAUGAGGAAGGCAUGUGACGUCAUCGUCACACAUGUGCAUCACAGGUUUUUCUCAAAGUAGCGACCAUUUUAAUCGCAGCCAAACUGGUGAAUCCCACGCUUUUCUCUUAAGUUCGUAGGCUGUUUCCCGUGCUCAGCCCUACAGUGUGCUGCCAAGAUAUGGUGGUUAACACUGGGAAGCUGAAGGAUGAAUUGACCUCUCUGUACCAACACACGGAGCUCCACAGGGGUACAACAGCUCCGUCAUUACUGAAAACAAUCUGCGAGCUCAACCUCCAGGAUGUUUUGUCAGAGACGGUCUCUCUUCUCAAAAUCAUCAUCACCACUCCCAUGCAGACCGCCGAGUCUGACAGAAGGUUCCCCACUCUGAAAAGAGUCCAGGUGUUGCCGUGUUCUCGGGAAAAACCUCGGGUUCCGCGGUCGCUUGGCAACAGAACAACGGCAGGCUAAAUGCACUGUCCAUGCUCUCUGUCGAGAAGGACUUCAUUCAAGCACUCAGGUCAGAUUUUCACGACUAGGUUGUUGAUAAGUUUGUCCAAAAUAAAACCUGCCCUGGAGCCUUCCUGUUUAAAUGAGCAGUACAGCAUCUGAGAAGGCUUGGGCUGUGUCUUUAUAUAGUAUAUACUGGGGGCUGAGUCUGUUUAUAGUAUAUACUGGGGGCUGAGUCUGUAUAUAGUAUAUACUGGGGCUGAGUCUGUAUAUAGUAUAUACUGGGGGCUGAGUCUGUAUAUAGUAUAUACUGGGGCUGAGUCUGUAUAUAGUAUAUACUGGGGGCUGAGUCUAUAUAUAGUAUAUACUGGGGGCUGAGUCUAUAUAUAGUAUAUACUGGGGGCUGAGUCUAUAUAUAGUAUAUACUGGGGGCUGAGUCUAUAUAUAGUAUAUACUGGGGGCUGAGUCUAUAUAUAGUAUAUACUGGGGGCUGAGUCUAUAUAUAGUAUAUACUGGGGGCUGAGUCUAUAUAUAGUAUAUACUGGGGGCUGAGUCUAUAUAUAGUAUAUACUGGGGGCUGAGUCUAUAUAUAGUAUAUACUGGGGGCUGAGUCUAUAUAUAUUAUAUACUGGGGGCUGAGUCUAUAUAUAGUAUAUACUGGGGGCUGAGAGUCCCAAAUGGCGCACUAUUCCCUCUGUAGUGCACUACAUUUGACCAUGGACCCACAAAAUAAGUCCAUAGACUCCAGUAGUAAAUAUUUUUUUAUACAUAAUUCAAAUCAGUAGAAGGUCUUUAUGUUGGCUAGGCCUUCUAUAAGUCAAUCAUUUCACCUGAUUAGCGUAAAAUAUAUAUGCUAUAGACUAUGCAGAGCCACGGUCGGGUCCAUUCGGAUCUAUCAGCUGUUGUUACGUAGACCCGAGAUGCGAUGACAAUCAAACAGGACCCGAGGGACAGGUUAGAAUCUCAGACCAGAAUGGGCCCGGGUCUCGGGUAUAUGAAGACCUCUAAUUGGCAUCCAAAGUCAACAAUAUGAGUGUGUUAUUAUGUCAUGAUCUGCUUGUAAACUGUGAAAUGUUGUCAACUAUCCUUCAACUGAAUUAUAAAUACAAACAGUUCCAACUGUCUGUGUGGCUCCUCUUCUUCACUGAAAGGGGAUUAUGUUGGUAGAUUGUCUUUAUCGAUGACAAGUCAGUAUAGUAACAUGGUGAUAAUAAAUGAAGGAUAACAGAUGCUAUACACUGACCGUUGUAAUAAUAUAACAUCACACUGCAGAUAGAAAUAUAAUGUAAUGACAGCUGUCUUGUUUUGGUUGAGAAAUCCACACUGAACAAAACUAUAAAUGCACCAUUUAAAGUGUUGGUCCCAUGAUUCAUGAGCUGAAAUAAAACAUUCCUGAAAUUUUCCAUAA